rnacentral:rRNA from 1 species
AUUGAACGCUGGCGGCAUGCCUUACACAUGCAAGUCGAACGGCAGCACGGAGCUUGCUCUGGUGGCGAGUGGCGAACGGGUGAGUAAUAUAUCGGAACGUACCCUAGAGCGGGGGAUAACGUAGCGAAAGUUACGCUAAUACCGCAUACGAUCUAAGGAUGAAAGUGGGGGAUCGCAAGACCUCAUGCUCGUGGAGCGGCCGAUAUCUGAUUAGCUAGUUGGUAGGGUAAAAGCCUACCAAGGCAUCGAUCAGUAGCUGGUCUGAGAGGACGACCAGCCACACUGGAACUGAGACACGGUCCAGACUCCUACGGGAGGCAGCAGUGGGGAAUUUUGGACAAUGGGCGAAAGCCUGAUCCAGCAAUGCCGCGUGAGUGAAGAAGGCCUUCGGGUUGUAAAGCUCUUUUGUCAGGGAAGAAACGGUGAGAGCUAAUAUCUCUUGCUAAUGACGGUACCUGAAGAAUAAGCACCGGCUAACUACGUGCCAGCAGCCGCGGUAAUACGUAGGGUGCAAGCGUUAAUCGGAAUUACUGGGCGUAAAGCGUGCGCAGGCGGUUUUGUAAGUCUGAUGUGAAAUCCCCGGGCUCAACCUGGGAAUUGCAUUGGAGACUGCAAGGCUAGAAUCUGGCAGAGGGGGGUAGAAUUCCACGUGUAGCAGUGAAAUGCGUAAAUAUUUGGAAGAACACCGAUGGCGAAGGCAGCCCCCUGGGGUCAAGAUUGACGCUCAUGCCCGAAAGCGUGGGGAGCAAACAGGAUUAGAUACCCUGGUAGUCCACGCCCUAAACGAUGUCUACUAGUUGUCGGGUCUUAAUUGACUUGGUAACGCAGCUAACGCGUGAAGUGGACCGCCUGGGGAGUACGGUCGCAAGAUUAAAACUCAAAGGAAUUGACGGGGACCCGCACAAGCGGUGGAUGAUGUGGAUUAAUUCGAUGCAACGCGAAAAACCUUACCUACCCUUGACAUGGCUGGAAUCCCCGAGAGAUUGGGGAGUGCUCGAAAGAGAACCAGUACACAGGUGCUGCAUGGCUGUCGUCAGCUCGUGUCGUGAGAUGCUGGGUUAGGUCCCGCAACGAGCGCAGCCCUUGUCAUUAGUUGCUACGAAAGGGCACUCUAAUGAGACUGCCGGUGACAAACCGGAGGAAGGUGGGGAUGACGUCAAGUCCUCAUGGCCCUUAUGGGUAGGGCUUCACACGUCAUACAAUGGUACAUACAGAGCGCCGCCAACCCGCGAGGGGGAGCUAAUCGCAGAAAGUGUAUCGUAGUCCGGAUUGUAGUCUGCAACUCGACUGCAUGAAGUUGGAAUCGCUAGUAAUCGCGGAUCAGCAUGUCGCGGUGAAUACGUUCCCGGGUCU